UAAAAAUACGUGGUUAUUUUUUCCGUGGUCAAAUUUAUUUGACCACUUCCGUGGUUGAUUUGCAAAAAAUUUGACAUCCACUUGGUCAAUGUAGUAACCCCGAAUAACCGUGGUCAAAAAGCAUACACUCACGCAUGCGCACCGUGCGCGCGCGCGGCGCGGAAAUUUCCACUUCAUUGUCCGCCAUCUUUGUUGCUCGAUGUGCCGAUGUUUCGUGGAUCAGAAUCAGCUUUUUCAAACAAUCCCUGGCUGACUGGUGACCAUUCCUGCAAUGAUCUGGAUGAUUGACUGAUAGAUGCGUCCAACAUCAUGAAGACAACCCGUAGAGGGCCAGCUGUCAUGCUAGUUAUUGCUGUUCAGCUUGUGUUAAUGCUACUAAAUUUAAGGUGUCCAAACAGUGAGUGAAUGUCAGCGACAACCUUCAACACGAGGAUGCAAACCAAAGAUAGACGGGUCCUACAGUGUUCAGUCAGUUCAAACCAAACUCUCUACUGCAAAUAGACCUCACAAAUUUUGUUUCAUUUUUUUUUUAAAUUUAGCAGAAAAUACUUAAAGAAAUUCUAAUUAUUGACUGUAAACCAUUUUUGUUUAAUCCUGACA